rnacentral:Y_RNA from 1 species
GGCUGGUCCGAGUGCAGUGGUGUUUGCAACUAAUUGAUCACAACCAGUUACAGAUUUCUUUGUUCCUUCUCCACUCCCACUGCUUCACUUGACCAACCUUUU